UACGAAGGGGGCUAGCGUUGCUCGGAUUGACUGGGCGUAAAGGGCGCGUAGGCGGUUCGUACAGUCAGACGUGAAAUUCCUGGGCUCAACCUGGGGGCUGCGUUUGAUACGUGCGGGCUUGAGUGCGGAAGAGGGUCGUGGAAUUCCCAGUGUAGAGGUGAAAUUCGUAGAUAUUCGCAAGAACACCAGUGGCGAAGGCGGCUUACUGGUCCGGUACUGACGCUGAGGUGCGAAAGCGUGGGGAGCAAACAGG
rnacentral:rRNA from 1 species